GGCUUAGAGUUUGAUCCUGGCUCAGAUUGAACGCUGGCGGUAUGCUUAACACAUGCAAGUCGAACGGUAGCAGGCCUUCGGGCGCUGACGAGUGGCGGACGGGUGAGUAACGCGUAGGAAUCUGCCUCAUAGUGGGGGACAACGUGGGGAAACUCACGCUAAUACCGCAUACGCCCUACGGGGGAAAGCGGGGGAUCUUCGGACCUCGCGCUAUGAGAUGAGCCUGCGUUAGAUUAGCUAGUUGGUGGGGUAAAGGCCUACCAAGGCGACGAUCUAUAGCUGGUCUGAGAGGACGAUCAGCCACACUGGGACUGAGACACGGCCCAGACUCCUACGGGAGGCAGCAGUGGGGAAUAUUGGACAAUGGGCGAAAGCCUGAUCCAGCAAUACCGCGUGUGUGAAGAAGGCCUUAGGGUUGUAAAGCACUUUCAAUUGGGAGGAAAACCUACCGGUCAAUNGCCGGUAGCUUAA
rnacentral:rRNA from 1 species